GCCGGGCAUGGUGGCACAUGCCUGUAAUCCCAGCUACUUGGGAGGCUGAGGCAGGAGAAUUGCUUGAAUCCAGGAGGUAAAGGUUGCAGUGAGCCAAGAUCAUGCCACUGCAUUCCAGCCUGGGUGACACAGCGAGAUUCCGUCUCAA
ensembl:misc_RNA Metazoa_SRP Metazoan signal recognition particle RNA